GCCUGCUUAGCUCAAAGAUUAGAGCAUCACAUUUGUAAUGCGAUGGUCAUCAGUUUGAUUUUGAUAGCUGGCU
rfam:Citrus clementina cultivar Clemenules unplaced genomic scaffold scaffold_7, whole genome shotgun sequence.